GCUGUAAGUAAGCGAUGAUCCAGGGAUUUCCGAAUGGGGGAACCCAACAGGUAAUACCUGUUACCUACAUCUGUUAAGGAUGUGAGGAGGAAGACGCAGUGAACUGAAACAUCUAAGUAGCUGCAGGAAGAGAAAGCAAAAGCGAUUGCCUUAGUAGCGGCGAGCGAAACGGCAGAAGGGCAAACCGAAGAGUUUACUCUUCGGGGUUGUAGGACUGCAAUGUGGACUCAAAGAUUAUAGAAGAAUGAUUUGGGAAGAUCAGCCAAAGAGAGUAAUAGCCUCGUAUUUAAAAUAGUCUUUGUACCUAGCAGUAUCCUGAGUACGGCGGGACACGUGAAAU
rnacentral:rRNA from 1 species